rnacentral:rRNA from 1 species
UGGGGAAUAUUGCACAAUGGGCGAAAGCCUGAUGCAGCAACGCCGCGUGAGUGAUGAAGGCCUUCGGGUUGUAAAGCUCUGUCUUCUGGGACGCUAAUGACGGUACCAGAGGAGGAAGCCACGGCUAACUCCGUGCCAGCAGCCGCGGUAAUACGUAGGUGGCAAGCGUUGUCCGGAUUUACUGGGCGUAAAGGAUGCGUAGGCGGAUACUUAAGUCAGGUGUGAAAAUCCCGGGCUUAACUUGGGAACUGCAUUUGAAACUGGGUAGCUAGAGUGCGGGAGAGGAAAGUGGAAUUCCUAGUGUAGCGGUGAAAUGCGUAGAGAUUAGGAAGAACACCAGUGGCGAAGGCGACUUUCUGGACCGUAACUGACGCUGAGGCAUGAAAGCGUGGGGAGCAAACA